AGGACGAACGCUGGCGGCGUGCUUAACACAUGCAAGUCGAGCGGUAAGGCCUUUCGGGGUACACGAGCGGCGAACGGGUGAGUAACACGUGGGCGAUCUGCCCUGCACUCUGGGAUAAGCCUGGGAAACUGGGUCUAAUACCGGAUAUGACCUGCUCUCGCAUGGGGGUGGGUGGAAAGAUUUAUCGGUGCAGGAUGGGCCCGCGGCCUAUCAGCUUGGUUGGUGGGGUAAUGGCCUACCAAGGCGACGACGGGUAGCCGACCUGAGAGGGUGACCGGCCACACUGGGACUGAGACACGGCCCAGACUCCGUACGGGAGGCAGCAGUGGGAAUAUGCACAAGUGGGCGAAAGCUGAUGCAGCGACGCCGCGUGAGGAUGGAAGGCCGUUCGGGUUACGUAAACCUC
rnacentral:rRNA from 1 species